UACGGGGGGGGCAAGCGUUGUUCGGAAUUACUGGGCGUAAAGGGCUCGUAGGCGGCCAACUAAGUCAGACGUGAAAUCCCCAGGCUUAACCUGGGAACUGCAUCCGAUACUGGAUGGCUUGAAUCCGGGAGAGGGAUGCAGAAUUCCAGGUGUAGCGGUGAAAUGCGUAGAUAUCUGGAGGAAUACCGGUGGCGAAGGCGGCAUCCUGGACCGGCAUUGACGCUGAGUGAGCGAAAGCCAGGGGAGCAAACGGG
rnacentral:rRNA from 1 species